AUUGAACGCUGGCGGCAGGCCUAACACAUGCAAGUCGAGCGAGCGGCGGACGGGUGAGUAAUGUAUGGGGACUGCCCGCUAGAGGGGGAUAACUACUGGAAACGAUAGCUAAUACCGCAUACUAUCGGAUACCCCCUAUUGGAUUAGCUAGUAGGUGAGGUAAUGGCUCACCUAGGCGCCGAUCCCUAGCUGGUCUGAGAGGAUGAUCAGCCACACGGGGACUGAGACACGGCCCAGACUCCUACGGAGGCAGAAGUGGGGAAUAUUGCACAAUGGGCGCAAGCCUGAUGCAGCAAAGCCGCGUGUAUGAAGAAGGCCCUAGGUGUGUAAAGUACUGUCAGUCGGGAGGCGUUACCUACAGAAGAAGCACCGGCUAACUCCGUGCCAGCGGCCGCGGUAAUUC
rnacentral:rRNA from 1 species